CUACCACAUCCAAGGAAGGCAGCAGGCGCGCAAAUUACCCACUCCCGGCACGGGGAGGUAGUGACGAAAAAUAACGAUACGGGACUCAUCCGAGGCCCCGUAAUCGGAAUGAGUACACUCUAAACCCUUUAACGAGGAUCAAUUGGAGGGCAAGUCUGGUGCCAGCAGCCGCGGUAAUUCCAGCUCCAAUAGCGUAUAUUAAAGUUGUUGCGGUUAAAAAGCUCGUAGUCGAAUCUGUGUCUCGCGCCGUCGGUUCAUCGCUCGCGGUGUUUAACUGGCGUGUCGCGGGACGUCCUGCCGGUGGGCUUAGCCUCUCGCGGGGCGGCCCAACUACAAUCCCAUCGCGGUGCUCUUCAUUGAGUGUCGAGGUGGGCCGGCACGUUUACUUUGAACAAAUUAGAGUGCUUAAAGCAGGCUCAAACUUCGCCUGAAUAUUCUGUGCAUGGAAUAAUGGAAUAGGACCUCGGUUCUAUUUUGUUGGUUUUCGGAACCCCGAGGUAAUGAUUAAUAGGAACGGAUGGGGGCAUUCGUAUUGCGACGUUAGAGGUGAAAUUCUUGGAUCGUCGCAAGACGGACAGAAGCGAAAGCAUUUGCCAAAAACGUUUUCAUUGAUCAAGAACGAAAGUUAGAGGUUCGAAGGCGAUCAGAUACCGCCCUAGUUCUAACCAUAAACGAUGCCAGCUAGCGAUCCGCCGACGUUCCUCCGAUGACUCGGCGGGCAGCUUCCGGGAAACCAAAGCUUUUGGGUUCCGGGGGAAGUAUGGUUGCAAAGCUGAAACUUAAAGGAAUUGACGGAAGGGCACCACCAGGAGUGGAGCCUGCGGCUUAAUUUGACUCAACACGGGAAACCUCACCAGGCCCGGACACCGGAAGGAUUGACAGAUUGAGAGCUCUUUCUUGAUUCGGUGGGUGGUGGUGCAUGGCCGUUCUUAGUUGGUGGAGCGAUUUGUCUGGUUAAUUCCGAUAACGAACGAGACUCUAGCCUGCUAACUAGGCGUAUUUUCGACAUCUCAAAGGCCCCACGGCCCGGCGCUCUCGCGUCGCGGUCGCGCGCGGUUUUUACUGUCGGCGUACAAUAAAUUCUUCUUAGAGGGACAGGCGGCUUCUAGCCGCACGAGAUUGAGCAAUAACAGGUCUGUGAUGCCCUUAGAUGUUCUGGGCCGCACGCGCGCUACACUGAAGGAAUCAGCGUGUCCUCCCUGGCCGAGAGGCCCGGGUAACCCGCUGAACCUCCUUCGUGCUAGGGAUUGGGGCUUGCAAUUGUUCCCCAUGAACGAGGAAUUCCCAGUAAGCGCGAGUCAUAAGCUCGCGUUGAUUACGUCCCUGCCCUUUGUACACACCGCCCGUCGCUACUACCGAUUGAAUGAUUUAGUGAGGUCUUCGGACCGGUACGCGGCGGCGCUCCCGCGUCGCC
rnacentral:rRNA from 1 species